AUUCUUAUUCGUUUUGAAACUCGAUAUAUCCUAUACCUUUUUUUCUCCCUUUUUAUUUCCUUUUCAUUCUUCGAUCUUACCAUGAAAGAAAGAACAUAUGGUUUUUACGUGUCGAACGCGUUCGUUGAUCCGUCAUCUCUAACUUGUUAUUUCUCUAGUUGUUAUUUCGAUCUUUGAGAAGAUUCACCUUUGUUUUCAAAGAAACGCGAAACGUAAAAAGUCGACGAUUGGCUGCUUAUCUCUCUCCGUUCGAUUUAUUCUCUCGGGUGAUUUGAAAAAAAAAAAAAAAAAAAUACAUUUCCAUCGUUAAACAAAUUUUCGAUAAUUUGUUUAGCUGGAUCUUCGAAUUGGACUAUUUAAUGGUACCAUUAACGGCGGCUAUUCCUAGCACGUUAUGAUACACAUUUUAAAAUAUUUAAUGAGAGGAGAAAUUUGAACAGCUGUUAAAAAGACGUGCUUUCAGAUGGAUAAGCAGCUAUCGAAUGUAACUGGCAAAUAUUUUUUGACUAAUUUAAUCGCACAUCUAUUUUUUCUUUUUUAUAUAAGACAUUUGAGUUCAAUGGAUAGUCGAGCGAUGCUCUCUCUCUCUCAUCACUUUAUUAUAUUAUGAAAUUUAUAUAAUACAAACUUAUUUUAUUUUUAUAAAACAGCCGGCUAACAGACGGUAUCGAGAAAGGUCAAUUUGAUGAGUCGCUCAGCAGCCGUGAUAAGGGAUCCUUCCUAUCUUUAUCUUUUUCUCUGUCUGCCAAUAUUUUUUUUCUCAUACACACGCUCAUAAACGAGGGGUGAGAGAGAGAGAGAGAGAGAGAGAGAGAGAGAGAGAGAGAGAGAGGGGGGGGGAGGAGAGGGGAGGAGAGGGAGAGAGACUAUAUUCAGAGAGUCUCCUCUUUAUCUGUACCUUGGAAAAUGUCAAGUCGUUCUGGCGAGGUUUAAGCACGCGUCGUUAGAAGCCACGUUGGCAUCUGCUAUCCGAAAUUCUAUUAAUCGUAAAGCGAGCCCUCUUUUUAGCCCAUCUCUAGGGCGAACAAUUUCCUCUCAUCAGUGGUAGAUCGUUUCGUUUUUUUAAAAGCAUAUGCUUUCCGACAGAUCUUCUCGUAAAAGUCUCUUAUUUAAGAUCACAGAUCUUCCAAGAGAGCUUGCGCUCUUUUAUAUGCGAUUUUCGAUGGAACUUAAAUGCGAUAAAAAUAAACGUGUGAACUUUUAUGAAGAACUUGUUAUGCAAAGAUAAUUCUUUAAAAACUCGGCAUAUUAUCGUUGGUGUUCGAUUAAGAUGUGGCCGUCGAUGUGAGUGGGCUUAAGAUGUUCGUUAACGCUUACACCUCCGACAAUAUUUUAUACGAAAGUAUUGGCGAUACGGAGAAAAGUUAAAAGAGCGAUUUCUAUGGACCACUGCUUAAAAUCCAACACUCUGCAUGAGAUACUCGACUCAUAGGUCGACAUGUCCGAGGAAGAAAGGGACAACUUGAAGGAAGAUUUGAUGAAGGUUAUUCAAGGUCGUGUCUCGAACGUACAACACACAAGUGCCCACUCGCAAUCUCAUCAAUCAGACCUUCAUUUCGUUGUCCUUGCUCGCCGUCGUGGCUCUCAUUUUUGUAUUCUUCGUUUAUAAACUUUUCAAAUGCUUGAGGGAGCGCGAACAAAAGAGAGAGGAGAAAAAGAAGAACAAACAGUUGAAGAAGAAAAAGUAGUCGAGGGGAUCUUCGAAUCCAACGACGAAACAAGUUGACUGAAACGAGAGAGUACAAAAUCCUACUUUCCACCGAAUAAAAGUGACAAUUUAUAAUAAAAAUGAGCUGUUACGUUGCUUUACGUAAGAAGCAAUUAUCUACGGUCUCACGUGUCAAAUGAUGAAGUCAAUUGAGAUUUUAUUGUCAAUAUUACGUUUUGUUAAAUAAAGUAAUAUAUUUAUGAAUAUA